UACGUAGGGGGCUAGCGUUGUCCGGAUUUAUUGGGCGUAAAGAGCGUGUAGGCGGCCAUGUAGGUCCGGUGUGAAAACUCGAGGCUUAACCUCGAGAUGUCAUCGGAAACCAUUUGGCUAGAGUCCGGAAGAGGAGAGUGGAAUUCCUGGUGUAGCGGUGAAAUGCGCAGAUAUCAGGAAGAACACCAAUGGCGAAAGCAGCUCUCUGGGACGGUACUGACGCUGAGGAGCGAAAGCGUGGGUAGCAAACAGG
rnacentral:rRNA from 1 species